rnacentral:misc_RNA from 1 species
CACGGUAAAAGCACGCAGUGCUGUCAGUACGUGUCGUCCUAGUGCUGCCACUGUGCUUUCACUGCAUGAAAAUGCACUUGAUGAUCGCACGGUGAUGGCGCGCUAGUGGAAUGAAGAACAUGGCACGUGAUAGCACUGUCUGUGUCCCUGUGCCUUCACCGUGCUCUCUCACUGAGUAUGCAUAAGUGCAUUACACGUUUUUGCCUGAGACGAUGCAGCAUUUAACAAACAAGUCAGAACGUUUUGUUUUCGCAUUUCUGACAAGACGCAAGUUUAUAAGUAGUAAAAAAAUUAAAUAUAAAAGUAUAAAGUUAGAAAGUGCUUUGGUGCGUGACAUUUUAUUGGAAUGAAAUAAUAAAAAAAUCGCUGUAUAAUAAAUCUCGCAAAAUCAGUGGAAACACGAAAUGUUUCGAGUUUGAUUGUUAUAUUAUUGCUUUUGGAUGCUGCAAGGAAUAUGACUUCAUCUUUCUCAACUCCAUCUUUCUCUCCAAUCGUUAUUCAGGGUGAAUAUGGGCCAAAUAAUACUUAUAAAAAAAGGAUAAAUGCUAUGGUUGAAUAUGUAUUUUUGUGUAUUCUGCUAGCAAUAUGUCCCUGGAAACUGCAAUAAUUAAGAUAGAAAGCAAUACAACUCAUAGUUUUCCAUUGAUAAUAGUGGUGCGUUAAACAACAGGUAUUCUGUCUUGGCAAAUACCUUUGCUUGACAACAGUGCAGACUUAGACACUGUGAUAUAUAAUAAAACUAGUCGUACCUUGUGCUCUACAAAAUAUUAUCGAUAUGUACAAGAUGACGAAGAGUAUAUUAUCGUUGGUAUCUCCACAGCCAGUCAUGAAAAUAUCUCCUUCAACCUCAAUUUCUGGAAGAGGUAAAAAUACGAAUUUCCCCAUCCGAUCCUAUAUAUUAUGGUUACAUCUUCUCAAAGUAGGAGAAUUCCUCAGUCCUCAUUCGUGUUGAAUCAGAUAAUGACAUCUGUAUGACCGUAUCUAUACAAAAUACAUCCUGUCCUGUAUUCGACUUGGAACAAAACAUCAAGUUUUUUGGGCACUGGCAGACUGUGAAUAGAAGAGGAAAUAUCACAGUACCAAUGCAAUGGCAGGAAACUAAUUAUAAAAAACCAAAUCAAAAAGAGUUUGAGAAUGCGAUGAGCCGAGUUCUAAAAAGUCUGAAAGAGCGACGGCGAAAAUAUUUAAUUAAUACCGGCAAUCUGCGAUGCAGAAGAGAUGAUCUUUCCAACGACGAUGAUGGAGAUCAAUUGGAAACGCACGUCCAACCAAUUCAAUAAUUACAUCGGUUAGAAAACGUCAGCCGCAGUAAGUCGACCGAUGAUGAAGGCACUGAUCAUGAUUUCGGACUUUCAAAUGAAGAGUACCUGGAGGAGAAUGUAAAUACAGAUACAGAACAGGCUGAUGAUUAUGCUUUGACUGCCAGUGACCUCUCAACUAUUGACAGAAUCAGUAAAUACAAGAAACAGAUUUCAAAUUCCUAGAUGAUUUGGAAGAUCUCUGAAGAGAAUUUUUAUACAUUGGAGGAAGAGGAUAUAUUGUGUUCAAUCAUAUUAAUAUAAAUUAUAUUAAUCAAACAUGUAAUUAUAAAUAAAAAAUGUUUAAUUUUACAAAA